AUACCUUUCUCGGGCUUUUAGCUAAGAUCAAGUGUAGUAUCUGUUCUUAUCAGUUUAAUAUCUGAUACGUGGGCCAAUGGCUCACAUGAUAUUAAAUUCAUUUCUUUAGGGGGAGGGUCCACUACAGUAGCUUGCUGUUGGGGCUCUCUAGUGUCACCCAAGCGUUGCACUACUGCAUAAUUCUAGCGCACCCCAU
rfam:Prunus persica cultivar Lovell chromosome G7, whole genome shotgun sequence.